rnacentral:rRNA from 1 species
AUACGGAGGGUGUAAGCGUUAUUCGGAAUCACUGGGCGUAAAGGGUGCGUAGGCGGUUUGAUAAGUCUGAUGUGAAAUCCUAUGGCUCAACCAUAGAACUGCAUUGGAAACUGUCAGACUAGAAUACUGAAGGGGCAGAUGGAAUUAGUGGUGUAGGGGUAAAAUCCGUAGAUAUCACUAGGAAUACCGAAAGCGAAAGCGAUCUGCUGGGAAGUUAUUGACGCUGAGGCACGAAAGCGUGGGGAGCAAACGGGAUUAGAAACCCCAGUAGUCC